UACGUAGGGCGCAAGCGUUAUCCGGAAUUAUUGGGCGUAAAGAGCUCGUAGGCGGUUUGUCGCGUCUGUCGUGAAAGUCCGGGGCUCAACUCCGGAUCUGCGGUGGGUACGGGCAGACUAGAGUGAUGUAGGGGAGACUGGAAUUCCUGGUGUAGCGGUGAAAUGCGCAGAUAUCAGGAGGAACACCGAUGGCGAAGGCAGGUCUCUGGGCAUUAACUGACGCUGAGGAACGAAAGCAUGGGGAGCGAACAGG
rnacentral:rRNA from 1 species